UAUAUUACACUGGGAAUUUUAAACUAUCCAGACACAUUAAGACAGAAAGGCACGCCAGCUUCCGCCAAUAAGCCCUCUAACCUUAAUGAAAAAGGCACACAGAGUACUAGAAGAUCUUUGAAAACUCUUUUUGGGAACCACUGUCCUCUCUCUCAGAUAGAUGCAAGCUUUCACCAUAUUGAAACUAGAUACUGAAGAAUUAACAUACCUGCAUCAUGCCGGCAAUUUAGCAUCAUAAUACAAAGCUGCUAAAGGCAUUUGGCAGGUAGCUGCUGAAGCAGUUGGUUAAGGCACUUGCUGAAGCAUCAACCAUAAUAGAAAAUCAACAGCUGUAUUAUGUUGUGAUGUCAGCAACACCUUAGCCAGUCUCCACAGAGAAAAAACUGAAAUGCAUCAAAAGCUAUAUUGAGCUCUUCAUUAGCAAUUCAGCAGCAAGCAAGGCAAAUGUCCUGUGAAACUGGGAGAAUACUAUGAAAUGGCUGUAGGGAUUUUUAGUCACUUUCCACUUCACAUUUAACUCACACUGUGAAACUAUAACAAUUAUUCAUCCCAAAAUAACUGAGGUUACCCAAAGGUUCAACCUAUUUAAGACCUAAAAUUAAGGCUGUUCAACCUGCCCUCCUCCCAAUAAUGCAUCAAUAGAAAAUAUAAAACUAGCUUAAUAAAGUUCUGCAUUUGAAAAGUCA